GACGAACGCUGGCGGCGUGCUUAACACAUGCAAGUCGAGCGGUAAGGCCCUUUCGGGGGUACACGAGCGGCGAACGGGUGAGUAACACGUGGGUGACCUGCCCUCAGCUCUGGGAUAAGCCUGGGAAACCGGGUCUAAUACUGGAUAUGACUCCAUGACGCAUGUUGUGGGGUGGAAAGCCUUGUGCGGCUGAGGAUGGGCCCGCGGCCUAUCAGCUUGUUGGUGGGGUGAUGGCCUACCAAGGCGACGACGGUAGCCGGCCUGAGAGGCGACCGGCCACACUGGGACUGAGACACGGCCCAGACUCCUACGGGAGGGCAGCAGUGGGGAAUCUUGCGCAAUGGGCGAAAGCCUGACGCAGCGACGCCGCGUGAGGGAUGACGGCCUCGG
rnacentral:rRNA from 1 species